UACAGAGGUCCCAAGCGUUGUUCGGAUUCAUUGGGCGUAAAGGGUGCGUAGGUGGCGUCGUAAGUCGGGUGUGAAAUCUCGGGGCUUAACUCCGAAACUGCAUUCGAUACUGCGGUGCUUGAGGACGGGAGAGGAGACUGGAAUUUACGGUGUAGCAGUGAAAUGCGUAGAGAUCGUAAGGAAGACCAGUGGCGAAGGCGGGUCUCUGGACAGUUCCUGACACUGAGGCACGAAGGCCAGGGGAGCAAACGGG
rnacentral:rRNA from 1 species